rnacentral:rRNA from 1 species
AGUGAACGCUGGCGGCGUGCUUAACACAUGCAAGUCGAACGAGAACGGAAUAUAGCUUGCUAUAUUUGUCAGCUAAGUGGCGCACGGGUGAGUAAUGUAUAGAUAACCUGCCCUUAAGAAAGGAAUAACAGUUGGAAACGACUGCUAAUGCCCUAUAUGCCUUUAAUACAUAAGUAUGCAAGGGAAACGCUUUAGUGCUUAAGGAUGGGUCUGUAUGGUAUCAGCUUGUUGGUGAGGUAAUGGCUCACCAAGGCUAUGACGCCUAACUGGUUUGAGAUGAUGAUCAGUCACACUGGAACUGAGACACGGUCCAGACUCCUACGGGAGGCAGCAGUGGUGAAUAUUGCGCAAUGGACGAAAGUCUGAUGCAGCAACGCCGCGUGGAGGAUGACACAUUUCGGUGCGUAAACUCCUUUUAUAUAGGAAGAUAAUGACGGUACUAUAUGAAUAAGCACCGGCUAACUCCGUGCCAGCCGCCGCCGUAA